rnacentral:lncRNA from 1 species
GUGCUGGAGAGGGCAUUCUGCUUGUUUCUCCAUCCAGAAAAUAUUAAGUGACCACCAUGUGCUGCUAUCUGCCUCCCCAGCUGUGACAGAGAGAUGGCGUAAUGACAGGGAUGACAAGUUCUUUUCUGGGAUGGUGGGAUCUUCCCUGCGCUCUCAGCUGCUCCCUGGUGGCACGACUGAGGCACCCUGAGCACCUCAAAGCCUCAAAGCCAGAGCCCUGCAGGCCUUGCAGUGGGAUUCCCCAGGUCAUCUCAGAAGACCAUCACGAGGGUUGCACGCCACAGAGCUGUCUUCUGCCCAGAAAGUGCACGAGAAUACAGGGACUGCAUAUCAGUGACCUUGCCCACCCUGGUGCCUGCCUUUGGGGCAGUCUCUGGCUCCAAUCAUCUGCAUCAUCACCACAGCAACCUGAAAGUAACACUAACAACUGCACAACUCCCACAAAUGCUCACCGUGUUAAAGUUCCAGGACCAAAUCCUCCCGACAGGAUUUUCCCUCCCUAG